AUGACCACCCAUGCUCUCUUCCGCAUAACACAUCACCGGCGACGAAGCAUUGCAUCAGCCACGAACCGAUGUCGUAAGCCCUUUAACAUCAUGCCACCCAGACCGCCGCGGGAAUCACUCGACCUUCACUCGUGCCUCUGCCUUCGAAUCGACUGCAAUAUGGCCUUUGCUUCCGUACGGCCGCCACGUUCCCCGAAUCACUGCCGGAAACAUCCUGUGCACAUCAUUUCAGUCAUCCUCGCCGUCAAUUUGAAGAUCUAG